rnacentral:tRNA from 1 species
GCAGGUAUAGCUCAGUGGGUAGAGCGCUUGCCGAGUAUGCAUGAGGUCCUGGGUUCCAUCCCAGCACCAAUA